CUUGAUCGAACCGAGCAGGAGCGGUUCCCGGUCCUCCCGGUCCUGCCCGUAGGUGGCGAGCAGCGCCUGCGCCUC
rnacentral:antisense_RNA from 1 species